GUCUGUAGAUUCUCAUAUUUUGUAUUGCCGUAUCUAAUUCAACACUGGAAAAUGCAAAGUAUUGACAGUAACAACAAAGCACAAGCAGUUUGAAUUCUCUUAUCAUUUGUAUGGAAAUGAACUAUUAGUUUGUAAAGAAAAAAAAGAUAUAGUAGGCCGUAGGAUGAAGGCCUAAAUUGAGCUUAGAAAACCAAUGUCAUUACAAGCUUCGAGGGAGAUAAUAAUUUUUACAUAGAUAGAAAGAGGAUGCCUUACUUAAUAAGAAUCCACUUCCCCCCAAGCGAAAUAGUUGCACAAAUGAGAAUAAAUCGCCUUCAAAGUUCGCGCUCCCUCGUGCUUUCAAAUUCACGAGCGCCCAUUGUUUUCGUUGCCAGUACGCAUGCGUGUGACGAAACAACACUAAAUGCGCAUGCGCAGAUAAGCUAAGACAGAAAUUCAACAUGGCUGAUGCAAAUGAGAUCUCUCAUGCUCGAAUUAGUUCAUGUUUUAUGCAUUUUGAAGGGGUGACCGAGCAACUUUGCCAAGUCUCUCGUCAAAGGCUAAAGAAAUUUAUUGAAUGUAGACAUAAAUGGGCUAAACUUGAUUGUGUACAAGCUGAUAUAGCGAAGAGUUCGUAUAAUAAGUUCGAUGACGACUUCGUGAAUACGUAUUUGGCCGAGAACACCGAAAGCAGCUUUGCUGUCAAAUGGUACCACCAUAUGAGAUGUUACAAGAAAUUUUGCGACGAAGAGAAGAUCCGAAGACAAGAGAGAAGUGAGGAAAAGCGAGCAAAACAAAUUACAGAAACUGUUCCUAUUACUGAAGACUCAUCCAUGGAACCAAUCGAAGAGCCAAGUAGAAAGGUUACGCGUAGUUCUCAAAUAUGUAGUUCAGUUGCUGCCCAAAGUAAGACCUUGCCUCAAAGAAAUCAGUAUGUACUGCCAGAGUGUUGCAUUAUUUGUGGAAGAGAUGCUUCUUGGUUUAGAACAGACAAGGUAUGACCACUUCUUCAUGUUUUCAAUUGAUAAAAAAAAUUCAUACUAUAAAAUGCUGUGCACAUGAUGUAUUAAACUGAGAUCGGUAUUUGACUAUUUUUAAAGUAUGGAAAUUAAGCUAUUGCAGCUAGUUUGUCUAAUACAAAGUAUACAUGUUUAAGCUAUUAUAUCAAGAACCUAUCGCUAUGGGGAACAUGAGAACAUUGGUGAUUGGUUUGUUUAUUUCUUGCUAGUAUAUCAUUAAUAUAAGUAUAAAAUGACAAACAGGCAUUCAAAAUAUUUGCACUUUGUUGUAGAAAACAAAAAAGAGAACAAGAACACCACUUGUAUUGGCAGCAACAAUCGAUGCUGGACUCUUGCGUACUGCUGCUGAGAAGAAAAAUGAUGAGGAGAUACUAAUGCAUAUUAGAGACAAAGACUGUGUUGCAUUGGAGGUCCGCUAUCAUGGAAUUUGCUAUAAUAACUACACCAAAUUCAUAACAAAGCCAGUAAAAGAGACAAACACAUGUGCACCAAUCUAUGAAAAGUCAUACAAAGUAUUCUGCAAAGAUGUCAUUGAGUUGGAAGUCAUCAAAGGAAAAGCAAUAAAGUAUAUGAAGGAGUUACUGAGUAAAUUUAUUGUCAUUGGGCUUUCAGCCUCAAGCAACGACUAAUCAAUAGUUACCCUCAACUUGUUUUCUUGAUGCAAAAGUAUAGAACUGUUGGCGAGAUUGUUUAUGCUGAGAACUUGCGUCCAUCUGAUUUUGUUGGGGAACAUAUGUUAAAUAAAUCUAUACAUGAUGAUGAAGACUUUGAUACUAGUUAGUUUUUUGUUACUAGGUACUAGUUUCUUUUAUCUUCAUUAUCGAGACAUCUGUCUUUAUACAUGUAGAUAGGUAAAUCAAUUGAUCUAUGUACAUGUAUAAAGGCAGAUGUCUCGAUAUUGAAGAUACUAUAGUACCUGUUUCGAAAUAUCAAACACAAACCACCUUUCGACUAACUAGUUCCCAACUUGACCUGUACCUCAGUUGGUAGAUCAUCAAACUGGCAACCGAAUGUCGCGGGUUCGAUUCCCAGCCAGCCCAAGUAAAGCUUGGAAAGCACUAAUGGCCAUACAGUGAAUCACCUUUAGUCUGAUACACCUGCCCUACUCUAAUACUAAUUCCAACCCUAACCCUAAAAAGGUUACUCACUGUAUGGCUAUCAGUGUUUUACGUAGAGCUUAUCUCUACUUGUCGAGUAGGGGGGGGCGGGGGGAGGGGCAGGGAGGGACUUUAAUGGGUUAGAAAUGGCUGGGAUGGUGUGAAACAUUGAGCAAUUUCACAUCCAUGAAAUGUCCCAAGUUGUCACCAUUUCUAACCACACCCUUUUUUCCGAAUGGAAAAGCGAUGAAGGCGAGUGUUUGGCGCCUUAAAACCAAAUUGCUCGACAGUCUUCCCAUUGUAAGGGAAGUAUGGUAAGGCUGUCCAUGUUCCGAAUCAGUUUGUCAUGACUUGUGGUAUUAUCUGUUUUCUAGACAUGCUGAUGAGCCCUGAUAUGGGGCGAAACAGUCAUUUUAACAUCUCGGCAUAUAAAAGCAUAAUAAUAUAAUCUCAUAGUCAUACAUCGUGUUAAGCUGGGUUUUUUUCAAACUUUCCCUUUUUUAUGAGUAUGGUUGUCUUGGAAGUAAGAAGUCUCCAUGGUGGAUAGUGGACUGGCGAAAAGGCGUUCCUGAUACUUGGUAAACUAAAGAUGAAUCUGCAUGGAGAAAUGCGCGUUACAGUUUUCAUGAUAAGCAACACAUCACAAAGUUCUAGUCAGCGCGGUUUAAUUACUUUAAUAUAUUGUUUUGUUUUCUCAAGACCUUUUAACAGUUUUGUGAUAUGAUUAAUUGUAAGAAGUUGACAAAGUAAAAAAGUAAUUGUAAAAAUAAUUGUAAAAAUAAUUGAACAUUAUUAACAGUUAUCUGAGCAUUUUAUUAUUUUUGGUAGUUGUGUAUACUUGUUUUAAAAUAUGAUUGCGAGCAUCGUGUAGUGUAUAUAUCAUCCUAUAUCUUAUUACAU
rnacentral:lncRNA from 1 species